rnacentral:lncRNA from 7 species
GAACGUGUGAAUAUCCAGCGUUGCUUGUAACUAGUCUUGAGGGGUCUGUGCUGCCUAGCGUGGUUUUUAUUCAGUUAUUCUCUCAAACUAAAAAUUGAUUUCCUUUGAGGUUCUCAAUGGGGUGCUUCUGCUGCUCUUGGAAGGACCCUGGUUCAGCACAAAGUGCUCUGAGUGGUGGAGCCUCUGUGGUGAUGCACAGCAGGUUGGAGGUGAAGGUGUCUGCUGGGGCUUUUCCUCUCCUCUGAGUCACCAAGUUUCUUCUGAAGCCACAGAACCAGGAAUUUCUGAUGUGGAAAACUUUUGUCUCUUCUGUGACAACAGUGAGAAGAAAUAGGAAGAUUUGACAACUGCAGUGGAGUUCCAGAAACAUUUGCAGGCAAAAAACCUUGGAGGAUCACGUUGCUGCUCCAGUUGCUGGACACUUCCAAGUGGAAGGAGUGCAAAAUCCAAUUUUUCCCAUACUAAUCUCAACCAUACUCAAUUUAUGCCCACUGAAGAAACUGAGCACGUUUUUGGGGUGGGUGCAACAUAUCCCCAGCUGGCACAGCUGUAGUGGGGCUGCUAUUAGCUCUCUGCCUUCUGCACAUCACAUCAGGGACACUGUGAGCCAUGUUCAGUCCAGAAUUGGAAUGGAUGUGAGGCUGAGGUGAAAGAGAUGAUAGAAAACUGCUCAGAAAUGAAGAGAAGUUUUGUAUUUUGUGAGCCUGAUUUGCUAAAAAUGCCUCCGGAUUUUAUUCUUCAUUCAAAAACAAGCCCUUUCCUGAAUAGAAAUCUAUCUAUUUGAAGUCUAAGUGACUUUGAGAUUAAACAACAAAUUAGGUUUCUGGAUUUUCAAAUUCUAUUUUAAUUGAAUGUUCUAGCCAUGCAGAAUGUAAAGAAACUGAAAAUGUCUGAUGCCAAAUGGCACACUUAUUAUUUGAAAUUUGAUGACAAAUUUGUCCUUCCUAUAAUUUAUCCAAUUAUAUUAAGAGGUCCUUCUGUUACAAAACAUUACAAAGCAGUACUAAGGCCAGAGAGGUGCUAGAGAAAUCUUUUUUCUGUCAUGUGGAGCACUGUACAGAAUUGCGUGGGUUUAAACAAAAUGUAUCUUGAUGUUUUACCUUAAAACUCUCUGUCCUUUUCCUCAGUUCAGCUGAAUCCUAUGAAAUAGAUACGCAGCUUGGAGAAGUUCUUCACGCCCCCACAAAUGCUAAAAAUGGCCCUGAUACAACAUGUAUUUAUGUAACAAAAUCAUCUGCAUUAAUAUCUUCCUUUCCUUUCGGCGAGAAGCACAGGGGGGGACUCAGGCUGACACAUUUCAACGCAGCCCCUUCCAUUCUUCUCCUUGCAUUUGGGGCAGCAGGGACAAGCACUGCUCUCCCUUAAAAACCAGGGCAAUGAAUGAACAGGAACAUGACGUGACUAUCAAUAGCGAGUUUGAGGGAAGAUUGUGGUCUGAGCUUUCAGGUUCUCUCCCCCUGAAUAUUCAGUUUCCUGUCACAGAUCAAAAUCACUUGUUACAAGGAUUCUGGCCGCUCUCGUUGUGCUGAUGUUCCAAAAUAAAGAGAGCAUU